UAAAUGGGUGAAAAGACUGAAAUCUUAAUCCCUAUCUCUUCUCGUCUCUUCUCUUCUCGCUCUCUCUCCGCUCUCGCUCUCGCUCUCUCUUCUUUACCCGGUGCUGCCGCCGCCGCCUGCUGAUUUUCCGACGAAUGAUCCGCUGAUAGAAACUCAAUCCAGAGGCGAUGGAUUCUGGAAAGGAUGAUGUGCUGCUUUGUGUUGCUGCGGUUUGUUGGAUGCUUGUUUCUGAGGAGGAUUAUGCAGUCAGAUGCUUCCUGGAUUGUUUGCUGAACUCCGUGGAAUUGAGCGAAAUAGUUGUCAAUUGUGGUCUUCACUGUCGAUUUUGAGGUUAGGAGAAUCGUGGAAGAGAAUCCCCAUUUAGUUUCAACCACUUUUCAAAACCCCCAAAACGCAACCGCCCCCCAAAAUCGCCGCCGCGAUGUCGUCGUCGCAGCAGAUCGAGUCCCACCGCGAGAACGCCGAGGUGUACACCGGCAACGCCGGGUGCAAGCAGAAGUCGAAGGAGCUGCUGGAGACUAGUAACUUCUCGCAAUUACUAGGAAUAGUUUCUUGCGUUGAAUAUCGAGAUUAUCAUAUUGGAGAGAAUCAACACAUAUUGGAAGCUUUCUCAUUAUGUAUAUUGUUCAAUGCACCGCCUUCGCUUGGUUCCGCUUCGAUGAGAAGAUCUCCGCCAGAAGCUAUCACUUGUUGCCGGAACUGAGGAUGAUGAAGCCAUUUCUCCGGUGAUGCUAAUUAUGUCGAAUUAUGUAAUUUUUUUAGUCUAUAAUUUUAGUUUGAGAUUACUACUUAUUUGAUUUUUGGAGAGGUUGUGUGUGGUAUACGAGGAAUUAAUUGAGAAAGAUCAUUGCUGCUUGUGUUGUUUGUGGAUUGAUGCUUUGUUAUCUGUACAAUUUUUUAGUUUUAUUUUUUUGUGAAUAAUAAUUCUCAUUUGCUUAUGUUUUAAA